AUGGUCGCCGGCGAUGGAGGCGGAGCAGGCGACGGUCAAAGCAGAGGAGACGGUGGCGAACGCGGUCGGCAGUGCAAUCCGGCAGCGGAGCUCGCCGGAUCAAGGACGCGGCAGGGAGCUCCUGGAGGCUGGCGACGAAGAGAGGCGGCGGCACUCCUGGCAGUGGGGCGAGCCAAGGGCGAGGGAGAAGGUCGAGGUCGCCAGCGGGGGGGCCUGGUGGUGCAUGGACGAAGCAGCAGGGCAGCACCAGUGCUGGAAUCCUCCAUGACCGCGACGUGGUCCUGUUCGUCUGGUCGCUGCUCGUCGGUGCGUGGAGGAGCAAGGGCGAGGCAGAGGGGUUCCUCCGGGGCAUGA
rnacentral:rRNA from 1 species